GCCGCUUUCGUCUACUGGAAGGACGCUAUUCUAUUCAGAAUAGAAAUGUGUGGUUCGAAUCCCUCAUGCGGUA
rnacentral:tRNA from 1 species